AGGGUCGGAUAUAAAAUAAAAACCAAAGGCUUCAACAAGCCGUCAUCGUCAAGCUGUGUAGCUUGAUUAGAAUUUGAGCAUGUUUUCUGUGUAAAUGUGCAAGCAUUGAAUUUUGCUUUGCUUUAAAAAAUGACAGAGAAUCUAAGCUUAACUUUUUGUGAAAAUUGCAUUUACGUGCCAUUUUCCAUUUAUCUUAGCGACCUC
rnacentral:misc_RNA from 1 species